GGGUGGUUAGCUCAGAGGUAGAGCUUCUGCCUUACAAGCAGAAAGUCACUGGUUCAAAUCCAGUACCACCUA
rfam:Galdieria sulphuraria unplaced genomic scaffold scaf_158, whole genome shotgun sequence.